GAAAAUAUCUUUGGAAAAAUCAAAAUUCUUUAGAAAAGAAAUAGAAUUUUUAGGAUACAUAGUAUCAUACAAUAUCAUUAAAACUGAACCGAAAAAAUAGAAUCAAACAUGAAAUACCCUCCUCCUAAUAAUUUAAGGGAAUUACGAGGUUUUCUUGGCUUAACAGGCUACUACAGGAAGGACAUAACGGUAUGGUUUCAAAACAUAUGUCAAAAAAAACAGAAAUAUCUCUAGACGAAGAAGCAAUCUCUGCGUUUGAAAACUUAAAAUCACACCCUAACUCAAAAAUGAAAAGAUGGCAUGCUUUCAUAGAAGAAUUUUCCCCUAAAAUAUUUUACAAACCAGGAUCUACCAAUGUCGUCGCUGACGCGUUAUCAAGGGUAAUGAUCAAUCAUAUUUCCAAUUAAAGAAAUCACCUGUCCGAAGAAGAACCGUCCGAUAAUUAAACUAUCCAUUCAGCCGACAGUAGUUAUAAAAGCGUAAUUGAAGAAACACACAAACAAUUGAAUGAUUUGAAAAGACGAUGAUUCUGUAUCGGAUACAUUAAAUAAAGAAAAUGAUUUACAUUUCCCACUUUGGUAGUUCAAA